UCGUGUGACCAGUAUGAGUUUAGGGUUUCUUUAUGAGAAAUGGGAAAUGGACACGUUGAAUGCAAAAAACGCCUAGCAGUUUAUGGUUUGAUGAAAACGGUGCCUGAAAAACGACGUCGGUUUUUCGACAAAUCAAAUAUAUUGAUAUCAUAAAGAGUUUGCCAAAUGUAACCAUUUCAAUAUUAUUAUUGAUCCAAAUUUAGGAUUUUGUAACAAUUAAGUGGAGAGCAACCAGCUAUUGUUCCUCUCCCAAGGACAUGUUCUUAUGCGUUACUCACUUUUCCGCCGCUAGGUAGAAAUAUUACUUUCUGUCCGUCUUAAAUUUCUCCACGGAAAUCUAAUAGUAUAAAGAAAUUAAUAAGUUUUUUUUUGUCAUCUGGUAGAUUUAUAUUAACUUGAACAAGAGAGUACACAAAGCCAGCAAAGGUGAUCAGACCUUUCUGGAGCCAUAAGCCGGUGAGCUGAUGGAAACCAUCCGGAGACACAGGUUGGUACAAACAUUGAAACCAGAAACUAGAGUAAAAGAUGAAAGAAAAGUUGAGGAGGAGCCAGGAGGAGUUACAUGAUACUCCUUU
rnacentral:lncRNA from 1 species